UACGGGGGGGGCAAGCGUUGUUCGGAAUUACUGGGCGUAAAGAGCUCGUAGGUGGCCAACUAAGUCAGACGUGAAAUCCCUCGGCUUAACCGGGGAACUGCGUCUGAUACCGGAUGGCUUGAAUUCGGGAGAGGGAUGCGGAAUUCCAGGUGUAGCGGUGAAAUGCGUAGAUAUCUGGAGGAACACCGGUGGCGAAGGCGACAUCCUGGACCGGUAUUGACGCUGAGGCGCGAAAGCCAGGGGAGCAAACG
rnacentral:rRNA from 1 species